AUAUUACUAAGCGGAGGAGAAGAAAUUAACUAAGAUUGCCUUAGUAAGGGCGACUGAACCGGCAAAAGCUCAAAAUUAAAAUCGGUGAAUCAAUGAUUUUCCGAAUUGUAAUCAGGGUUGCCUAAAUACGGAAGGCUUCUCAAGAGUCUCGAAAGGCUCGCCGAAGAGGGUGAAAGCCCCGUGCAGGGGUCUUCCGAACAAGGUAGCUCAAACAAGAGUCGUGUUGCUUGGAACUGCAGCACUAAGUGGGAGAUAUGAUUCUUCCAAAGCUAAAUAUGGAUGGGAGACCGAUAGCGCACAAGUA
rnacentral:rRNA from 1 species